GCCCAGUCCUGGGAUGGCUCAUUUGGUAGAGCAUGAGACUCUUACUCUCAGAGUCAUGGGUCUGAGCCCCAUAUGGGGCA